AUAUUGGCCGGAGACCGAUAGCGCACAAGUAGAGUGAUCGAAAGAUGAAAAGCACUUUGAAAAGAGAGUUAAAAAGCACGUGAGAUUGUUGAAAGGGAAGCGCUUGCGACCAGACUCGCUCGCGGGGUUCAGCCGGCAUUCGUGCCGGUGUACUUCCCCGCGGGCGGGCCAGCGUCGGUUUGGGCGGUCGGUCAAAGGCCCUCGGAAGGUAACGCCCCCUCGGGGGCGUCUUAUAGCCGAGGGUGCAAUGCGACCUGCCUGGACCGAGGAACGCGCUUUGGCUCGGACGCUGGCAUAAUGGUCGUAAGCGACCCGUCUUGAAACACGGACC
rnacentral:rRNA from 1 species